UUAACGAGGAAGGAUUUGACUGAUUGCAACCUCAUAAAAAAAUGCUAAA
rnacentral:ncRNA from 1 species